rnacentral:rRNA from 1 species
AUACGGAGGAUGAAGGCGUUAUCCGGAUUUAUUGGGUUUAAAGGGUGCGUAGGCUGUUCGGAAAGUCAGGGGUGAAAGCCCGGAGACUACCGCCGGAACUGCCUUUGAUCCUUCCGCGCUGGACUCGGGAUGCCGCGGGAGGCAUGGGUAGUUUAGCGGGGAAAUGCAUAGAUAUUACUCAGAACACCGAAUGCGCAGGCAUCUCACGAAUCCGUCAUUGACGCUGAGGCACGAAAGCGUGGGGAUCAAACAGGAUUAGAUACCCUGGUAGUCCACGCUGUAAACUAUGAUAACUAUCUUUUAGCGAUACACAGUUAGAGGGUACGAGAAAUCAUUAAGUUAUCCACCUGGGGAUUACGUUCGCAAGAAUGAAACUCAAAGGAAUUGGCGGGG